CCCCCAGCAGCACUCGAGAGGCUAUUUUUUGCCACGCUUCACUAAAUAAGGUCGUGGAGCAUGGCAACGCAGGCGGGCUGGUGGAAGGGUGCAUGGCUCUGGUUCUUACCUUGGUAUAAAAACCCUGGGAUGGUGGGGGCUUCCUCUGAUCCCGCUGAACCUCUCCCCUGUUCCCCCCAGUUGCAGUUCUCUCAUUUCAACUUACUUUUAGUCUUUUUUUUCUAUUACACUCAAACCGAAAAAACUAACAUUAAUGUCCAAACGCUGCCUUGCGAGCGGUGUCAGUUGACCUUUUGUUUUAAAACCUUUUAAUUUUUUUUUUGGUGCCAACAGUUUGAUGUCUAAUUGCAAUGUUUUGAAGUCUUCCAUUCAACUCGUUACUUUGGAGGAAGCGUUCUCACCGACUCCUGGACAAGAAAUCGAGAAAGUGGAAUAUGGGGGCAAAAGGACGAGAAAGACUUGAACGACAACACAGAGAGAGAGAAAGACAUUGCAAGUCCCGUGGCCCUCUUCUUUUCUCUCCUCUCCUCUCUUUUCACUGCUCCUCCUCCUCUCCUCCUCCUCCUCUUUUCCUCUCCGCAUCCUUAAACUCUCCAUCGCUGAUUCAGCUCCGAGGGAAGAGAGAGCCUGCCUGCAGCGACCGCUUCACUCAGCAUGGGCCACCAUCCCUCGCUGGAUCACCUUUACUACGGUAGGUGUGAAAGUGUCUGUGUGCUUGUUUAGAUGCUUGUAAAAUAUAUUUUUUAGACAGUGUGUUUACUCACUGCAUAUUUGUCAACGUGUUUGUGUAUGUAAGACUGUGCUUUGUCUGCUCAUCUUCACACACUGUACCGAUUUUUUUCUUAGCUACUCUUUUGGAAAGAUUAUGAGCUUGGGAGCUGAUGAGCAUUUUCAGUUUUUUUAUUUUUUAUACCCCACUCCUUGGUAGAAAUGUUUUAGCAUAGAUUACAUUGCCACGGCAGCCUGUGAUCCCCACAUUGACAGAGAGCCAUCUCCACACAUUCACAUGAGGUUAAAAGGUUACGGGGUUACUCUGAGGUGUUUCUUUGGAGGGAUUUCUAGGCGGCUAGUUUAACCAUAUUUAUAUUCAUCGAAAUAAAAUAUUUUUUAAUACAAAUGUUAGCUUACAGGAACCUAUGCAUCCUCUCUCUGUGCAAAGAAUGAAUUUGCACAGUGGAAGUACUGCAAGUUGUCGAAUAAAGGGAGAAAAGUUAAGUUGUUAGCUCAUAUGUGCAGGCUGAAUUUAUUUGUAAAUAAAGAGCAUAUAAACAUACAUGACACAGAUAGUUGAGGCAAUCCAUAUUCUCGUUUUUUCCAAAUAUGCUUUCAUUAAAAAAACGUUUUUAGAAGCAGUUUGAUUUUUUUCGUGAAUCUGUCUUUGUGAACAUUUUAUUGCAGUUUCAGCAGCAUUUAUAUAAAUAUAUAUAUACAUAUAUCUCACAAUGUGAAAUCUUUUCGUGUGGCCACAGCAGAUCGUGGUGUGGGAGCACAUGGUGUUGAACCAGUGCAGUCCUGCUCCGUGUGCUAUAUUUGAAUGCAGGACAGGUGAGGUUUAUCAGUAAAAACGCUACAUGAGCAUGUUCUUAAUGUGCCCCCCGUGUUAAGCUCAGCGUCCAUGGAGCCGUCCCACUGGGGCCUCAGCUCUAUCUAUAGACAGGACACAUGUGUCACUCUCCAGAGAGGGAGAGGUUUAAAGUGGAAGCGAGGUUCUAAAAGUGUCGUGCAUAUGCUCCCAUCCCUCUGUCUCUGUUGCCCUCCCCCCCUCCCCCCCUCUCUCUUGCUGUCCAGGCUAAUUUUACCCAGUUAGCAGAUACCAGGGAGAUCAGCGGUGGUCAGCUGUCUGUUCAAGCAUCCGGAGCACUGACAGGCUUCAUGGUGAAUUGCUGAAGGUGGCGAGGUGUUGGGUGUCCCAACCCUGCUCUAUAGGAGACAGCAGGCAUGGUUGUAGCAGUUAUAGUAGACACGCAGCUGUUUGAAGGGUAUCUGUCUGUCUAACCAGUGGGUGUGAAACGGUGUUAGUUUAACUGUAGAGAAUACAAAUGUUGAGAGUGAGCAGAAAAGAACAAGGUGGACACAGUUUUCUGUUUCUAAGUGGUUUAUGCCUUUUCAUUAUUACACUCUUUUGUAGGGAUUACAAAAAUCUUGCCAGACGUUUGGCAAAUUCCAUCCAUUUCCUGUGAGGCUGUGUAUAGCCGUGCAGUGCGGGUGCAUAUUACAUACUGUCCUUACCUUGCAGUCUACAGCAGUUGUCUAUUUCCCUCUGGAGAGUUUGAAUUCCUGCCUGCAAUAUUGUGAGGAUGGUGGCACAGAGGCCAGAGUGGACUGACAACUUAAGUCUUUGGUAAUGUGUCUACUGCCGGGCUGGAAUGUGUCCGUGUGCUGGCACGUGUGCACACGUGCAAACCCCUCCUCGUUCACCAGCCCCCGCCGGUGAUUUACGAAAACCUUCGUUCCGUCUCUGGGAGAGAAAAGAAGGGAGGAUUGAGAGAGAGAGAGGAGAAGACGAGUGUGAUUUAUGGAAGAGACUUUUAGUUUAAUUACUGGGCGGGCAGAGCUGAUGUGCGCAGCCCCCAUGGCACUGGUUACACAGUGGUAGGAACACACAAAGGGGCUAUUUGAGGGGCCUACAGCGGAUGACAUAUUCACAUUGGUUUAGUGGAUACAGUUGAUACACUCAGAAAACAAGAGUCAAUUCAUAUAGCGUGGAACAGCCACAUGCAGUACCUGUGCAGCGGACUUAAGUGGAUUUGUGCAAAUACAAGUGGAAAAAAAUAUAGAAACACGUGUCUCUGUCCACUGAAUAUAAGAAGAAAAUAGACUGUUAAUAAUAGUUAUGUAGAGAUGAUUGUGCUGUGUCAACAGUCCAGCCUCAGCAUGAGCUUUCAUGGAGAUUUGAUCAGAUGCACGAGUCGUUCAAGGUGAAAUGUUGUCAGCCAAAGACAAAAAGACUGAUUAGAAAAAGACUGAUAUUGCAGUUUGGCAGUGCUUCCAGGAGCAGUGCAUGCUGGGGUGUCAACUGAGUGUGUGUCCCCCUUUCGUUUUUACCCUCUAAAGUUCAGAAUCUCUGUUUAUUUAUCACAACUGAUAAUAGCCUCAUAAUAGUACCACCAGAUAUUUGAAGGGGAAGCCCAGUUGGAAAAUUGUGUCACGGUAACAGCUGGUCACUCUAUUCAAACACACACACACACACAUGCAGCGUGCACAAAGAGAGACGCACACUCCCAAUAACCCUUAUAUGCUUCCUGCUGCUUCCACCAUAGGUUUCCUUAACGCCUCCCUCAGAGCCUUCAUUAGAUGCCUGACGUUAGCAAUGGUUCAAUUCAUUAAAAGCACAACUCAGCCUUUGUGCAUUUGCCUAUAAAUUGGUAUUGAUCCCUGAGAGGACAGGGUGGGGGGAGGAGUGGAGACAGCAGAGGAGGGCGAGGAGGUGUGUGUCAGUGUGCGUGUGUGCGUGUGUGUGUGUGUGCAUGUGUGUGUGUUUGUGUGUGUGUAUUAGGGGGGUGCCGUUGCUCGUGGAUCAGGGACUGAGGCUAAUGGGAGGGGGCAGUGGGGUCUCAGAUGGAUGGGGUUCACUCAAGCAACAAGGGCAAUUGAAGACACAUACAAACACACACAUACACACACAUACUCAAGCACACAUGCUAAGAACGCUGACAUACAUUUACAGACUGACAGAAGUGCACGCUGUGUGUCACACACACACACACACACACAUCCAUGCACAUUCCUUUAGUCUGCUCUGCUUUCCCCCUCACACCUGUCCUCGUGCCACGCCGACCUCAUCAUCACCACCGUCUGCUCAGCAUGGAGCUGUAACGUCACUGUAGUGUGAUGGAGGGAGAAGUGGGGGUGAGAGACUGGUGUGGAGUGUGCGAGCAGGAGAGAAAGAGAGAGAGAGAGAGACAAUAAGAGCACAUGCUAUAAAGAGGGGAGUGGGCAGUCAAGAGGAGACCGCAUAGUGUGGUCGCCUACAGACUGCAUGGUACAGAGUGUGUGAGAAAGAGAGGGCAAGAGAUGAAAGGCACAGAGGGAGAGAAAAGAAAAAAGAGAAAUUGCUGUCAGUAGCGGAGUACCAGUGGGACCAGCGGCAGUGUGCCGGACUAAAAGUUUUCAGUGUGUGGAAGACGGAAAGAAUAAGGAGUGGAGAGAGAGGGAGAGAGAGAGAGAGAGAGAGAGAGAGAGAGAGA